AGUAAAAAUGUUAUUUUUGGGGUGGCGGAGAAAGGACUCCGGGAGGAGGUGCUGGUGGUGGCGGUCCAUAGUACGGAGGAACCAUGGCGGCUUCUCGGCGGCCUCGUGACUUACCAAAGAGGUAACAAGCAAGAGCUGAGAUAAGGAUGAUCAGAAUCAAUGGCAGUGAUAUAACAAUCACAAAACCCAUUGAUUCAAGUUUUUCUUAAACCUAAAGGCUUUAAUAUCCUGCCAAAAUUAUUAUGUGCACACGUUAAAACAAGACGACUUUUAAUACCUAAGUUAUAUGUACUAACGAUACAAAUAAAAGUUUUAUAUCGAUUUUAAAAAUCACAAAUAGGUGUUAUGAUUCAGUUACAGAAGAUCUUAAACUACCAAAAACAGUGCAAAUUUAAUGCACAUGUAUCUGAAAUACAUGAAAUCCAACGUAUCAGAUACAUGUAUCGAGAACUAAUCUCGCACAACUCAUAUAUUAUUGAAACAAACUAUCGUUUCAUUGAGUAAUUAUCACCUACGAUAGCAUGCUUUAUAAAAGAAAUGGGCUUUAAUUACUUGGAUGAUCCAAAUUCUCCAAAUUCCCCCCACAGGAAAAAUUACUUGGAUUGGUACCUUUUAAUAAAUAAUUAUUGAUUUUAGCGAUACUUUUUAUUUAUUACCAUUACAGCAAUACAUAGCAAAAUCUGCAAUAUGUAUUAAAAGUGAAUUAUGUAUGCAAUACAUAUAUAUAUAUUAUAACUGUUUUUUAAAUAUAUUUUGCUUGUUUGGUAAGAAAUUGACACAUUGUAUUAUAAGUGUAUUAAAAUGUGUGAUAAAUAUAUUAUUCAUCAAUAAAACUUGUAUUAUAUGUGAAUAAUAAAUUGUUCUUUGUAAUAUGUAUUAAAACUGUAUUAUAAAUGUAUUAAAAGUAAUCAAGUGGGAAAAAAAUGGUAUUGCUAUAAAUGAUAAAUAUUUUUUUAAUAUAGUAUAUUUAUGUAAGUUUCCCCAAUAAAAUAACAAAAACAACUUUCAACCUUACUUCAUCGGAAGUGGACCGUAUAUUAGAGCCCAAUUACAACUGAGGUCCAGCCCAACUUACGAAUUUCUUCUCGUGUUUGUUUAUAAAAAAAGGAAGAGAGUGUAUUUUAUCGAUUUCAAAAUUAUUCGAUUUAGUAGAUUUUAAAUAUGUAAGCUAAAUUUAAAUAAAAAGUAUUUCAUAUAACUAAAACAAGAAUUUAUUUUGAAGCAACUCCAAAAUUGUUACAUCUAAAACUCCAACAUGAUGUACUUGAAAUUUCUUUAUAUGUGGUCUUAUCUAAUAGCUAGGGAUAACUAAUACCAGACUUAAUAAUACUUGGAUAAGACAAUAAAAUGAUUGAACUACCCCUCAAUUUCUUUAUAGUCUUAAGACUUAAGUAAAGAAACAUCAUAUUUCUCGAUUAAACAAGCCUAAAAAUAAUUCAAGGAUAUAAUUGUUUUUGUAAAGUUUUAAACCAAACACAAUGCUAGGUGCCGGUGGGAAGCAAGCAAUGAACCAAACACUUGAUAAAAAGUAAUUUCAGCAUUACUAAUUCGUGUAUUAUUAAUCUCGGUAUUGCUAAUUCAUGCGCUAUUGAUCUUUGUACCAAACAACCCCUUAUUGUAUUGAAAUUUCAUAGGUAAAAAUUGGUUAUGAACAACUCGUUCAUGAUUCGUCAAAACUUGUGAACAAUUUAAUUCAAAAUCUUCACCUAUAUAUCGUAAAAAAAAAACUUCUGGUGAUCUGUCAAGACUUAUCACCGAGUUGUGAAUCCCAAGUUCAAGUUCAAAUUCAUAAAAUUAAUACCCUAUUUGUAUAAACACUCGAAUCUAAAUUAAUCGGACACAGGAGAUCAUCAACCAUAUAUCAUGCCGACAUACAGGAAGGUAAGGGAAUCAAGAGUAAAUAAAAAUACAAGAUAAGCAAACAAAUAAUAAUAACAUAUUCGGUAUAAUUUUAUAACCGAUAACGAAAAGAAUAAAUUAGAAAAAAUAAAACUUACCUUGUUGUUCUGACAACACCACAAAUUAAAUUCAUAAACUGAUGGAUCACCUCGUACUGAAACUGAAACAGAACUUUAAUUUCUUCACUCUUUAAAAUCUGGAAAAAGACAUUGGAUUUAGGAUUUUGGUGCUGUUUUUUACCUUUUUUUAGGUGUUUUUUUUUUUUUAAUUAUGAUAAAGAUGAUGACGUGUCUGAAUAUAAAGGCUUUCAAUACGAGUGAAUGACAGCUUUUUAUUUUUGUUGAUCUUUAUAAUUGGUAUUACUUUCGUCCACUUUUAAUUGUCAUUUUAUAUUUUCUCGAAAGUCAAUUUGACUAAAAAAAUUAAAAUUAAUUUAAAUUACAUUAAUUUGAUAUUUAUUAAAAAAAUUAGAUAUUCAAAAACUAUCCAAAAUUACUAUAAAUUACAAUAAAAUGAAAAAAAUAUAUCAUAAAAUAUUAGUCAAAAUUUAUAUAAUUCAACAAAAAUUAUGACAAUAAAAAAUAGACGGAACAAAAACGUACUUUUUGUUUAGUUGACGUAAGAAAGUGUAGACAACUCAUUUAUAGCAUCAAUACUUGGCACAUAGGUUGCGUUUUUUCCAAUCCAUAACCACAUACACACGAGAUGCUUUCCUAUUUCAUAUUCGAUGGUUCAUUCGAUUAUCCGAAUUAAAAUUUGAUUAAUCGUGAUGUCAAUCAACAUCAUAUAAGAUUUUAUUCGAAAGAAACGCAUUUCUUAUCAAAAAAUUAUGUUCUCAAAACCUAAAUCUGAGAUCUCUUCAUUAAAAAAAAUACAAUAUCAUUCGCUACACGAUAUCUUUUUAUGAUUAACUUAUAAUUAACUUAUAAGGAUAAGUUGGACUUAAAUUCUUUUUUCCAGAGUGUUCCUUAUAUAUGGACGGAGAGCGAAUAAAAUUUUUAAUAUUAAUAACUUGAGUAGAUUCAGAACUUACAUAAGAUAUAAGAAUCUCACAAGUCAUAAUGAUAUUUUGGAAGAAAAAAAUCAUGUAAAAUUUAACUUUGAAACUAAUAAUAUCAUAUUAUAUAUUUAAAAUAUUUUAAAAGUGAUUCAACCUAAUAAUUGAUAUUAGAGCCCAAAUUCAACACAAUAAAUAAUGAGCACUUUCACAUAUAGCAAACAUAAAAAUUUUCACAUAUAGCAAACAUAAAAAUUAUCUUUAUAUGUUAUAGCUAUAGUUUGUAUAAUUGCGCUUCAUAGCAAAUUUUAUGUUUGUUAUGAAGCUUUUGAUUUAUAUAAUUCGCUAUUUUAUACAAAUUGUUCAGUUUUGUAUAAAAUUCAUUUAUACAUUAUAAUUUGUAUAAUAAGAUCUGUAUUUAUAUAAUUAUAAGUGUAUAGGACGAAAAUAUAUGUAUUUGUAUAUACACUUUUCUCUCGCUUUAUACAAACACAAACACAUUUUAUACAUUUUAUACCGAAAUGUAUAAAAUAGCUAAUUGUAUAUCAAAAAUGGCUAAUUGUAUACCGAAUCAGAUGGCAAAAAAAUGAGAUCUUUGCUGCAAAUUACAAAUAAAAUAAACUAUAGCUAUAUCUUUUUUUUAUAAAGAUAAUGUUGAUUAAACUAUAGCUAUAUCAUUUAAUUUGAAUUAAUAGUUUGUUAUUUCAUACAAUUUUCCCAUAAAUAAUAUGAAAAUGACAGCGCGAUAAAAUGUAAGGCUCGAUUUUCGAUUUUAUUCUACAAAACACCACAAUAUCAUAUAACACAACUUAAAAGUGAUAUUUCAUUCUAAUAAAAAUACAAAAUCAAGAAACAUACAUGAUACAACAAGAUAUAAAAAGUUCUUUAAACAAAAUUAAAGCGUUCCAUUUUAUUUAUUUUAUUAUGAGGAAUUAUUUGAAUAAUUAUAUAAUCACCAUCUACCCCUUGAUCUUCCAAAGAAGUAACAAGCAAUGGCUAUUAAAAUCAAUACCAAUAUAGCCAAAGGCAAUGAUAUCACUAGUACAUGCAUCUUCUCUUUUUAUAAUAUGGUAUAUUCCUGCAUUCAUACAAAAAUAUUUUUUUAUUAAUUCCAAUCAAUUGUAAGUAAGCUCAAAUUAAUUUUAGAUAUGCCAUAUCUUUAAAAUAUGCUUUAAAUUCAUACUUCCUUUGCUUUAAUUUAUAUGACAUUCAAAUUUCGAGAGUAAAUUUUUUUUAAAUGCAAUUUAUUCAUAUAUUUUUAAUGUCUGAAUGUGCGAUCAAAAUAAAAUAUUUAGUCUCAAAAUUUAAAACUAUAUCAUAUAAAUUGAGAUAAAAUUAUAUUUCAUAAUUUAAAAAUUAAAAAAAAGGUGCAAAACUCCUCCUUUACCACAAGACAAAUUAAGAAGAUAGGUACAUACCUUGUCUAGUAUCCAAACUACUUCGAUUGAACUUUUCUUGUAUUUUCCUUUUAAUUACAAAUCCCAAAACUCACAUAAAUAAAAAUGGAAAGUAAGAGUUUAAGAAAUUUUAGUAGACACAAAAAGGAAAAAUUGGAGAGUUCAUAUGAUAUAAGCAAAUUAAAAGAAUAAAAAAUAAAAAUGACAAAAGGAAAGGAAUUACCAUAAAGUGACACGAAAUGCUUUCAACUUUCUACGUGUAUGAGUUUAGACGAGGUUCCUUCCUUGUCAUGACAACCGCGCUCGAUAUGAAAUUUAUUGACUCGAUUAAUAUAAUUUUGAUAAUAUCGAUUUUUCGUUUUAAUUUACGUGAUAUAUUUUUAUUUUAUUUAUAAUUACACAACUAUAUAUAAUUCAUCGACUUCAUAUCCACCCUAAGUUGGAGGAUAUAAAUUAGAACAAACGAAGGGAGUAAUAGGAAGUACUUUCAUAAAUACAAAACCAAGAAAGAAGUGACAACAUAAUAUAGCGCUAUUUCCUUGGGUUCUAUAAUUAAAAUCCAUAUAUAACGAAUAUAAAUAUAUUAUUCAAACAAAUAUUAUUAAAUUCAGUUAAAUUUGUAUUCAGACUUCUAACUCCAUCGAGCAGAAGAAGCAUAAUAGAACAUUUUGGAGUAAAAUUUAUCAGCAACAACCCCUUGAUCUUCCACACAUGUAACAAACAAUGGCUACUAUCAAUACCAAUAUAAUCAAAGGCAAUGAAAUCACUAUUACAUACAUCUUCUAUAUAUUUCUCUUAGCCCCUCCUGCAUUGACACAAAAAAAUUUUUAUCAAUAAAUCAAUUGAUUUAUUUAGUUAAUUUACUCGCUAUGUUCUAAUUUAUGUAGCUUUAUUCAUUUUUCGAGAGUUAAAAUUUAACUAAUAGUUAAAUUGUAUCAAAAUAACUUAAUAUUUUAAAAUUAAAAAUAGAAGUACUGUAAGUUGCAAAAAUAUCCUCUCAUGCCAAUAAAAUGAAAAGAGUAUAUUAUAAAAAUAUAAAUCAAAGUCAAUAUAAUUUGAAUUUCGAAAAAAAAAUGUAUGACAUAAAUAAAAAUAAGGAGAUAAAUAACGAAGCCAACACCCAAGUAAAAUUUAAGGAUCGUUCCGUUCAUAGAAUAAGAUUAAUAUUCUUAAAUUUAAGAUUAAAUAUUUAAAUCUAUACUUUAUUUGGGUUAAAAGAUAUAACUAAUCUCGGAAUAUAUUUUUAAACUAAAUGUUAUUUUAUCUCACCCAAAAAUUAAAAAAGUUAAUCACAAAAUUAUAGUUUCAAAAUAUCUUUAUCUAUGAACUAAACGAUUCAACGAUGCAAGAACAUGAAAGAAGGUAUUUGAAAUAAAAAGAAAAGUGGUUUUUGACGAAUGCGACUCUCCUUAAUCAUUAGAAUAAUAAUUUCUAUAGAAAAUAAAAUCAGCUUUUGUAUGCCUCAAUUAAAUUUAUGCAUCUGAUCUAGUAAAUUUUUAUCACCGCUAAAAUUUAAAACUCUUUAUUAAUCACUCGAUCACAUUUUUAAUUGAGAUUUACAUGAUUUUUUGUUUCAUUUUCAUUCGAGAGAAUUUGAAUUUAAAUUAUCUGGAUCUCGAUCUUUUAAGUAGAUCUUCUUCUUCUUCCUCUUCUUUUCAACCGCAUAUUCAAUAACCAUGGCUAAAAUUACUAUAAGGCACCAAUUAACAAGCACCACCAACUCAUUACUAGUAUCAAUCACCUCCACCAUUAAUUAUAUUUUACUAUUGAUUGUUACUAUAGUUAAUCACAUCGAUUAUCAAUUAUACAUUAAUUUUUAUUAUGUUACCAUAAAUAUUGAUUGUUACAAAUAAUCACCUCUAUUAUUGGUUAUGACUGUUCAAACAUCACCUUUGGUCCACCUAUGCACAAUCAUAGACAAUAAUCACUCACCAAUCAUACAAAAUCAUGAGACAAUAUAUAUAUAGUGUUACCUUGGGCUCUAUAAUUAAAAUUCAAAUAUAACGAAUUUACUAAUAUAAAUAUAUUAUUUAAACGAAUAUUGUUAAAUUUAGACAAAUUUGUAUUCAGACUCUAGCUCCAUCGAACAGAACAAGCAUAAUAGAACAUUUUGGAGUGAAUUUUAUUAGCAACAACCCCUUGAUCUUCCACACAUGUAACAAACAAUGGCUACUAUUAAUACCAAUAUAAUCAAAGGCAAUGAAAUCACUAUUACAUACAUCUUCUAUAUAUUUUCUCUUAGCCCUCCUGCAUUGACACAAAAAUAAAUUUAUCAAUAAAUCAAUUGCUUUAUUUAGUUAUUUAAUUUAUUCACUACGUUCUAAUUUAAGUAGUUUUUCAUUUUUUAGAGUUUAAUUUAACUAAUAGUUAAUUGUUCAAAAUAACUUAAUAUUUUAAAAUUAAAAAUAGAAGUACUGUAAGUUGCAAAAAAAUAUUCUCAUGCCAAUAAAAUGAAAAAAGUAUAUUAUAAAAAAUAUAAAUCAAAGUCAAUAUAAUUUGAAUUUCGAAAAAAAAAUGUAUAACAUAAAUAAGAAUAAGGAGAUAAAUAACAAAGCCAACACCCAAGUAAAAUUUAAGGAUCGUUCGAUUCAUAGAAUAAGAUUGGAUAUUCUUAAAUUUAAGAUUAAAUAUUUAAAUCUAUACUUUAUUUGGGUUAAAAGAUAUAACUAAUAUCAGAAUAUAUUUAUACCUUAAAUUAAGUGUUAUUUUAUCUCACCCGAAAAAUUAAAAAAAAAUUGAUCACAAAAUUAUAACUUCAAAAUAUUUUAUCUAUGAACUAAACGACUCAACGAUACAAAUGCUACUCUCCUUAACUAAUCAUUAGAAUAAUUAAUUUCUAUAGAGAAUAAAAUCAGUUUUCGUAUGCCUCAAUUAAAUUUAUGUAUCUUAUCUAAUAACUUUUAUCUCCGCUAAAAUCUAAAACUCUUUAUUAAUCACUCGAUCACAUUUUUAAUUGAGAUUUAAAUGAUUUUUUUGUUUCAUUUUCAUUCAAGAGAAUUUGAAUUUAAAUUAUCUGGAUCUCGAUCUUUUAAGUAGAUCUCCUUCUUUUUUUCAACCGCGUAUUCAAUAACCAUGACUAAAAUUACUAUAAACCACCAAUUUAAAUUGUUUUUACUAUUGAUUGUCACUAUAGUUAAUCACAUCGACUAUCAAUUAUCAUUAAUUUUUAUUAUGUUACCAUAAAUAUUGAUCGUUACAAAUAAUCACCUCUAUUAUUGGUUAUGACUGUUCAAACAUCACCUUUGGUCCACCUAUGCACAAUCAUCGACAAUAAUCACUCACAAUUUAUUUUAAAUAUAUUUUACCAAUCAUACAAAAUCAUUCAAAUAAUCUUAAUUAUUUAGGUUCAAGUAAAAAGGAAAUCAAAUGAAAAAAAGAUUGUGACAAAAGGGCAUGAACCUUAAUACAUGAGGAAACAAUAGAAAUGGAUUGGUUGCUUAUCUAAUACUCAAAUUGGAUCAAUAAUUGAUAUUUAGAUUUCAUUGUAAAUCUAGUUAAUUAUUUUAUUUUUUUAAGUAACGUAAAUCAAUAAUUCAACCGCAUUCUUUUUAUUUUAGUUCGAUUAUACAUGCUAAAGUAUAUAAAAUAAGAUAGAAAUACAUACCUUUAUCUACCAAAACUUCUAGUUGAUCUUUGUUUGUCAAUAAAACAAAGCUAAAACUCACAUAAAUAGAAUGGGAAAGAGAAGAAGUUAAGCAAAUGUUAUAGAAACUUUGCAAGAAAGAAAAGACAAGUGGAGAGUGAUAUAAUGCAAUAGAAAGUAGAAGAAGAAAAGAUUGAAAAAGACAGCAACUUUAAUUCUACGUGUAUGAUGUAAGACCACAAUACAUUUAACUUUUUCUUUCGAAAUAUGAAAUUUAUCGAUCUGAUUAAUUAAAUUUCAAUCAAAUUUUAAAAAUCUUUGACUAAGAGUCAAGGGUGAAAUAUCAACCACCAAAUCACACUCUAGAGUUAUUAUCUCAUCUUCGAUAAUGGUCUAAUAUUUUGAUGUCCUAAGCAGCGAAUCACACAAUAAUUUAUGUCAAAUUUAAUGAUUAAAUUCUACUCAGACGUAGAAGUAAAUUUAAGAUUUUAAAUUUAUGAAAUCUGAAAUAUAAGAUAGAAUAAUAUACUAAUUUUUCAAAAUGGAUUAUUUACAUAUGUUUAGAAAAAAAUUUCAAUAAAAAUAUAAAUUAUAAAAUUUUAUUGAACCUAUAAUGAUGACAAUAAUUUCAACUAAAGCGAUAAGGAUAAGAAUUCUUUAUUGGAAUAUGGUUGUCCUUCUUCUAGCCAUUUCACAUUCAUCCUCUUUGAUCUUUAUACUCCUUUUAUUGCAAUUAGGUCACAAAUCUAAAAAAAGAAAAAAUUAGUCACACAAAGUAAUUUACAUAUUUAAGAAGAUAAAAUUUCAAAAAUCUAUUCAUAUUAUGUCACAAAAAUAGAAUGGAGAGAAGUAUUGUUGUGUAAUCUCCUCUAACAACCAAUAAAGAGUUGUGAUGGAAUGACUAAAAUCUCUUCACUUUAACUAAUAGUUCCCCACAAAAAAAGAGGUAAAGGUUUAACGUAUAUGGCAACUAAGUGCAAACUACAUCAGCUACAACUAACAGUCCCACCACAUAAAAAGGAAGUAGUAAUACACAAUACAACAACACAUACCCAGUGUAGUCCCACAUAAUGAGUUUGAGACGCAUAACUUACGCCUACCUCAGAGCUAGAGGACGAGGUGGUUUCCAAUAGACCCUCGGAUCAAGGAAAGUAGUAAUAUACAACAACCUUUUGAUAUACUCAGAGCUAGAGGUUGUUUCCAUUGGUUCAACAUAGCACUAUGGAAAGAAAAGGAAGAGAACUGCAAAUUGCGCCACAUAAUACAUAUCUUGUAAUAACAUCUUUUCCUGCCUUUUAGCCCGUUUCAUUUCACCAUUGCAGUUUUACAUUAACCUCGUUACAACAUUUUAUCCUAUGUAUACAGAUUGAGGUACAAGGGGUGGGGUGAAUAAGCUGCAAAGAUUCAAAUACACAUGAGAUACAGGGAGGUAGUUGAGGAAGGGGGGAUAAUUCACAGAAACUAAGAACAAGUCUAACAAUGGUGAUCUCACCAGUCAAUUGCUAUGAACUGAGAAAGGAGCAUUACAAGACGAACGGGGGUGACGAGGCCGACAGCGUUACUUUGCGUGGUCCAGCAACUCCACCCACCUCCUGGUUUCCUACUGGCUUAUUGGAUAGUCGACGUUUAUAGCGCUUGAGGACGGAUGCCAGGUUCUCUUUUCCUUUAGGAAAGGCUACAUCCCCUGCUGCAGUGCCCGUUCGUCCCUUUCGACAGGAAAUUGCCGUCUCCACGUCUUUGAUCAUCUCUAAGAGCAUUGCUGCAGUCGUGCAUUUUCCUCGGCCCUGUUUUGCUUGUGGCGGCAAGUUUCCAUUUGAAAUUGGAGGGGGGCUUGCCUUUUGCUGGCGGCCAACCGGAAUUUGAAGACAAAAACAAUGGCUCGUAGGAGAACGGGGCUUCGAAAAUGCCAGAUCUACUAUGCCCUGAAGUUGGUAAAUGAUUCAUCAGAUAAAUAAUAAAUCUUAUACUAGCAGCUAUUGAGGUUGACACAUUGAUGUAGAACAUUUCUUGAGCGUCAAGACCAACUCAAUUAUAGCACUUUCCCGCUGUUCCAAGAAAAGACAAUUUCAAACAAAUGACCCCCACCCUACGGUUUCAUGGCGUUUUUGAUGCUUUUACCACUUGUUUAGCCACCUUAAAAUGGAAGGACCAGGAUAGUCACUACAAUGUCUUUUUUGGCACGGUACAAGGUCCAACGAUGAAUCUAACACAAAAUACGGUUAUUUAAACCUUAAAUGAUGUGAUAUAAGCUUUGAAGAGGGUUUUCAUGAAGGAUUGUGGGAUAACACCAAAAAGCAUGCUUCAUUUCUUCAAUGCUUAAAAAUAGCUUUUCAUUAAAAAAUUACUGAAAGAAACAGAAAACUUCAAGAAUUCUGUGAAUGAACAAAAGAUAGAUAGGAUAUGAGGCUUUACCUGAAGACGGUUGAGAACAUAGGUAUAUUUGCCCCACAACUCUGGCCUACUUUCCAUAAGUGAAAGCUCAAGAAUUCUGUGAAUGCACCACACACCGAAGCUUACAAUCAGAUCUACUUUCCAAACACAACCUUCUCCACAGUGAGGAACUGACAUCACCAAGAACUUGGUGUAAUCCAUCUCUUCAGGUUUUGGGGCAGAACCAGGUUUCCUGUUGGAAGAGAAGUGUGAUUCACCAAUGUUGGUCAACCUACUUAUCUCCCUAGUUUCAGCUUCAUAGAGAAAUUUCUCUCUUGCAGCAAUCCGACCUAUAAGAUCCUCAUCAGCCCCAUCAUCUUGCCUAAAUAACCACUCAGAUCCUUCCAGUUUCAGAAGUUUCACAAUACAACUUCUGAAAGACUGAAGCAGCUUAGCUUCCAAGUCAACCGUAGAUGUACUCUCCUGAGCAGAUGAACUCUGCACAGUUCCAUGAUCACCGCUACCAACAUCUGGCUUACCAGCUACACCAAAUUGCUCAAAAGGCUGUCUAGACCACAAGGAUCCAGUCCCUGAAUUGGAGCUGUACUGCAAGGAGAACGCAUCUCUGCAGACUUUAGGAGAAUGUUCAUACCUCUGAGGACCACCUGCCCUAAGUGAACCACUCAUAUAGGCUUGUUCGUACGUAGAUCGACCACCAGAUUGUUCGAAUCCCAUGGAAUUGUACCAUUGAGCUCUCCCAUCUGAGACUAAAGAAUCUUGGCGAGGAACAUAGCGCCCUGAGAUAUCAGGCAAGCUGUAGUACUUCUUAGAGUUGGCUGAGCCAGCCACGCUUUCAGCAGUUUCAGUAGAGCUAAGGUCGAUAGAGGUGUUAUUGGGCUGCAUGGAAUUAUUUCGGGCUACAGGGACAUUUCCAAAACCAGGUGGUGCUCGACUACUGACUCCACUCUGGGGUUUUUGCCCCGAAGCACGAGCCAAUGGUUCGGCAUAGUUUGACGUCAGUGAUGAUACAGAACGAGGAGAUGGUGACUCCAGUUGCCCAUUUAAAUAAUCAGAUCCUCUUUCUUUCGCAAGUUGAUUAAGGUAAGCAGUAAUUUGAUAUCCAUGCACAGUGGCAGGCUGCUGAUCAUAGCCAGCAGAAGUCGCUGGAAUCCGCAUACUAGAAUAGCGCCUCUCCCCUGGGUCAAGUAUGUUGCUGUUGGAACUUUGCACGUACGCACCUACUAAUUUCAUAUGGUUAGACCACAUAGAAGAUGUCGAAGAAGGCUCCUUUGGGACUCUAUAAGCAGAGUCCACAAUGCUUGACGCAAAUUGCUGCUUGGGAGAGUACAUAUUCGAGUUGAUCAGAGACUCUGGUAUCCUUGCACUCCCCGAUGGAAUAUACGCACUGCUUUCCACUUUUAAUGAUGCAGGGGCAGGUUUUGGACUCAUCUUUGAAUCCAGACCAAGUAUUAUAUCCAGUUUCUUGGACUUUGCUUCUGCUGUGGCCAUGCCAUGGUAAUCAAAAAGCUGCCCCCAAAACUCAUUUAGAGCUUCUGUUAACUGCCUCCUAGCUGCGCGACCAAGACCUGCUAAUCUUGAUAGACUUCCCGUACCACUCCCCAUGUCCUCUAGUUUUCCACUUAGACUUUUGUAUGACCCCGGACCAUCAGAAAUAAAAGAUUGAGUGUUCUCAGAUACUCCUUUGAUUGCCUCUUCAGGCUCCUCCCACGAAUCUCCAUCAUCCCUGUCAUUUGCUAUGUCCCCUUCAAUUCUGAGAGUCUUCUCUACGACAUCCACAGAUUCAGUAUUGAAGACACUGGUAUCCACAGAUACAACACCAGACACCUCAUUACAAACACUUUUCACACCGGAACUUGCUCCUGCUGAUACAGAUACCUCAGGAUGACCGACAGCAGGAGCUGAAAAUGUUGUUUCAGAUUUGCUCUCAUCAAUAGUAGCCAAAUGAUGGACCUUUUCAAAAUCCAAGAGUGAUUCUGGCAAGAGUUGAUCAAGAUCUUUAGUUGAUAAAUCUGGAUGGCUUACCAAGGAUUUAUCCACAUGAAAUGCACCUUCUUGCUUUUGGGAGGACCCUUCUACUAGACCAAACAUAGUAUUACUCGCACCAAGUUGAUUACACUCUAAAUAUGGCUCAGGCAUAGGCGUUUGCAGAAAUGCCUGAGCAUCGAACCUGGAACUUGCAGAUUUCAGUGGAGUAACUGCUAACCACAGCAUCAGACAAAGAGAUAAAGAGGCUGCAAUGAGGAGAAAAACAUAUGGAGUAGACACACUACUCCCAAUAGUCCACUUUAAAUUAUUAACCCAAUCACUAUUUCCAAAUAUCAUCUCUAUGACAAAUAUAAUCUUUAGGCCAAGUAAGCCAAUAAAUGUGCCAAGAGAUAAGAACUCCAUUAACUGAGAAAUUUUGUGAAUACCCAUAAUUGAUCUGGAAGAAGCAACUCUGAACAGGGGUAUGACAGAAGAUGGAAGCACAAGAGCUACCACAACCUGUGUUAAUAUUAGUAACUGAUAUAGGCCUUCAGCUCCUGAAUUCCAUACACAAUAAAGGGCUGGGACAAUGGAAAUAACUCUGAUCGUCACAUGAUGAAGCCAGCCUGGGAUGUCCAUUCCAAAUAAGUCAUGCACAACUGCUUGUCUACCAAGAUCCCAAGUUAGUGGUGUAACUUGAUUGGAAAUAAAUGUAACCAGCAUUAUGGUGAAUGGUGCUACUGAGCUUCUGAACACCUGCGUCAAUAAUCCACGAAAAUCAUUAAUAUCUCUAGCUCACAAAGGCCCUAGCUUAGACAGAACCAUCUUUUGCUGUUUGAAUCUAACCUGAUCGAGCAAUGACAAUGUGUCCUGAAAUGUCAGCAACAAAAGGCCAGUACUAUAAGACACAUUGGCUGCUGAAUUCAUCGCGGCAUAGUUGACCAGGAAAAUGCCACUGAAUAUGAAAACAAUGGCAAAAAAAUGGUCCUGACACAGAGCUCCCCUGGAAAGCUCUGUUGAUUCCUUACCUUGCUGCAAAAAAAGAAUUUAUAUAGAGUUAAAGACGAGAUAAGCUAGCCCCAUUACAUGAUAAAAGUUAAGACUUGGGAGCCAGUCACAACCAAAAUAUCUAGAGAAGACCUCACAUGACUAUGAAUAGUCUAGAGUUAAAGAGCUACAAAAUCUAAGAAAGCAGUAGAACUAGUUGGAACAACAAAAUAGACUGAACAAACAUUUAGCCUUGAGUUAUCAGGGCCCAAUCACGCAUACCAAUAAUUAUCUUAACAAUAAGUCCAGAGACAGACUGUAUUAUAAGUUACAGAUGUGCCUCCGUUCUGCAAGCACAGAUCAAUAUUUAUGCAUGCAUAUGCGCAAACACACACACACACACACAUAUGAGAGAGAGAGAGAAGGGACACCUGUACAAUAGAAGAAUGGAGGUAAAAAUUGUGAGGCAUAAUACUUGCUCCAAGAAGACUCAUCAAUGCAAAUGCACUCUCUCCACUAAACUUAUUCAGCAUACCACCAAUGGAGAAUGGAGUUUCAGGUUGAGUUAUGACCACUCCAAAAACAUAAGAGAGCAGUACAGAGCUUGCCCAGCCAACACAUAAGAAUUUUGCACUGCCAUUGUCCUAGACAUAGUAUUUUGAAAUCAUUAUUAUUUAUGAGAGACUAGAACUAUACGACAAGAAUCUGAGAUAAUUCAAGAUGUCAAUAACAGAAAGUCCAGAAGGAUAGUUAGUAGUAAGACUUACAAAGAGAGAAGCAAGCAGUGGAAACAAAAUGGCACCGGUUGCAGUCAGAAAAACACAGCUAAACAGGUCAAUUCCAAACACAACAUUAAGCCCAUGUGCAGUCCCCAAAACCUAUCAGAGUCAAGUGGUUGUAAGUUGAUGCGCUAGAAAAGGUCAUAAUCUCAGAAGUCAGAGUGUACACGAAAUGACAUAGUGAAACUACCAUUGUGAGGUCCAAAGCAAUCAUCGAAACCUCAGCUUGAAUUCCUAGGAAUAUGCAUGUAACUUUGUCAUAUUCUUCACUGCAAAUCUUUGACACCAUCAAGGACAACAAAGUUAUUAUACAUCAUCGGUUAAACAAAAUACAAACUAAUGAUUUAAGCAGAAGAUGUAACUUCAACUCAUGCCAAACUUAAAAUAUGAUGUCAACAACAAUGCAAGUUUUGUUACAUGCAUUCUUCUUAACCAGUGUGUUGUAAGAUGGAAGGACAACCUGACAGCUAGAGUUGCCAAAAGAAUGACUUAAAAAAACUGGUCAACCCACAUGUUCAUUCCAGUACUCCCCCCGCUCAAUAGUGUUAGCCAACUUAUAAGACACUACCGNNNNNNNNNNNNNNNNNNNNNNNNNNNNNNNNNNNNNNNNNNNNNNNNNNNNNNNNNNNNNNNNNNNNNNNNNNNNNNNNNNNNNNNNNNNNNNNNNNNNNNNNNNNNNNNNNNNNNNNNNNNNNNNNNNNNNNNNNNNNNNNNNNNNNNNNNNNNNNNNNNNNNNNNNNNNNNNNNNNNNNNNNNNNNNNNNNNNNNNNNNNNNNNNNNNNNNNNNNNNNNNNNNNNNNNNNNNNNNNNNNNNNNNNNNNNNNNNNNNNNNNNNNNNNNNNNNNNNNNNNNNNNNNNNNNNNNNNNNNNNNNNNNNNNNNNNNNNNNNNNNNNNNNNNNNNNNNNNNNNNNNNNNNNNNNNNNNNNNNNNNNNNNNNNNNNNNNNNNNNNNNNNNNNNNNNNNNNNNNNNNNNNNNNNNNNNNNNNNNNNNNNNNNNNNNNNNNNNNNNNNNNNNNNNNNNNNNNNGGGGUUCUGCUGGUUAAGGACCUUUGAAAGGACUAAUUUGUCAAAAAAGAAAUAGAUGUUCAUACACAAAAACAAGACACAACCAUUGAUCACGUUUCAAGACUUCUCUGUUCUAGCCUAGUGGACAGGUAAACCUGGUGCCUAUUGUUGGAGGGAGGUGACAGGUUUCUGUGGAAUUAGUCAAGAUGUGCACAAGUUGGCCCAAACACCAGGUUAUCAAAAAACAAAAGAACUGGGCUUGCUAUGGGUGUUCUAAAUGAAACAUACAAGAGCAGGAGAAUCAACAUCCAUGCAUGUUCGAUUUACUAAGAUUCAUCACUACUUAGAUACGCAAUCAAAAGUUAAAUUCCAAUGAAAGAACACUACCUGCGCAAGAUCUCGGUCUGUAACCAAGGCUAUACAAGCAGACAGAUACUGGCACAGAAUGGCAGCAAAAUUGAACAAGAGUACUAGCAUGACCAAAUCAAACCCAAACCGGGCUCCUCCAUCAACCAUUGCAGCCCAUUUCCCAGGAUCAACAUAGCCAACUGCAAUCAGCAGCAUUGGCACAGAAGCAGAAAGUACUCGCUGAAGCAUGCUGGGCUGCCUAUAUUCUCUAGUCAGAGUUUCAGACUCCUAAUUUGAUUUAGAUAGUUAGCAAGCCCAGAGAUCGCAGUAAACUAGCACUACAACAUCACUAAGCAACCCGUUUGACAUGAACAAGCUCAAUAUUAAAAUCCAACCAGUGAAGUUCCAAGUUCCGACCACACAGCUUUUCUAUGUAGCAGCUGCAGCUCCAACUGUAGACUGUAGCUCAAUGUAGCACGGGUAGAACUGGAUACCAAAACCCCUCGUAAUCUCUGGAGAACUUUGAGCAAGUUUGCACCCAAAAGCAAUGGACAUGAAGAACUUGACAAAAGCAAUUUAUUAAGAGUCUUUUCAAGCUGCUAAAAUCAACCAACUCCAAACAAGAAAUUUGAGAAGUGCGCCUUAUAAAGAUGGAAGUCUUUUCGAGUUGCUAAAUCCACCAACUCCAACCAAAUACACCGCAUUAACACCUUUGCAUCCGUCAAUAAACCGAUUGCCGAUUCUGAUUUCUGAAUUGAGUUAAAUACCAAAGCUUCAGUCAAAUGUCCAAAUUGUAGUUACAGAAAAAAAAACUAGGCAACCAUGACUAUCAAACACUUAAAACAGCUGGAGAAGCAUUAUUAUCCAAAUUAAAACUAUUUACAUGUUAAUCCCAGUUAAAAGACAAAAAUGCUGAAGUGAAUAAACUACCCAACAGAAAAAAAUUGGAUCUUUCACGACCUAAUAUACAUCAUCAAUACAUCACAGUGUCCUGUAGCGCGAGAAACAUGGAUCACAAAAAUAUGGCAAAUGAAUACCUUCACUGAGAUCACAAUUCACAAACCAACCCAGCAUUAUUCAUAUAUUUCAAAAUUAGUCAACUUGCCCAAAAAAAAAUGUAAGCACUCAGUAAACUCCAUGUUACAGCCUGGCAUCUAAAGCUAAACAUGAUUGCUUUAACAAAAAUCUCCUGCAUUUUGAAACAAAAAAAAAACUUCAACUUGACUUCAAAAGCAAUACUACUUUUCAAAAAGAAAAGAAGAGAACUGCAAAUGAAACACCUUCUCCUCCUCAACCAUCCAGAUCUUCAUUACACAAAACAACAAAACCCCAUCAAAUUUAUCCAAAAAAAAAGAUCAAUUUUUUUUCCAACCCAAAAACCAAAACCCCAUAAAUAACACUUCUCCAACCUUUUUAACACAACCCAAUACAACAAAUCAAAACAAUCAGCUAAAAACUCAAUACCCACUUCAUCGGAUCUGAUACAAACAUGACCUAUAAAGACCAAAAAAAAAAUUAAAGAUUCCAAAACAGAUAAUCCUUAUACCUAUAUCUAAACAUACCCAUGACAGUAAAAUAAAAAAAUAAUAAAAUUUACCCAAGUGGGUGUGUAGACCAUUAGGGUUUUCCAUUUCUUUUUUAUACCUUCUUCAAAUAGUUUUCCUUCCUUUUCUGGAUGGGUUUUCUUCAGUCUUCUUCUCUAUAUAUUUCAGUGCUCAGAGUUCAGAUCAGAAGCUUUUAAGAAAAGCACUAAUAUCUAUAUAUACUACUAAGAGAUAAAAGAGAGGAACCUGUACGUAAUACAUAUCCUAGAGAGAUGGAGAGUUAUGGUAUGUGAGCUGUGAGUACUGUAGAAAGAGAAACUAUAUAUAUACAUAUAUACAUAUAUAUUACUGUAUUUAUAUAUAUAUUUAUAGGGAAAAAGGGGUCAUGUAGGGGGGUGGGUAGGGUCUUAAAGCUAUCUUGGAGAGAGAAAAAGGUAAGGAGGUUUCACUUCACUAAUGUGAGUCCAAAAGCUAUGAAGAAGAAAAGUGAACUAAAAAGAUAGUUUCAUUUUCUUUGUUAGUAUCUUUUUUUUCUUGAAAUUCCUUUUAAUGGUUUUUUAACGGUUUUUUUCUACAUUAUGUUCAACAUAGAUACGUGAACAAAUACAGUAUAUUAAGGCGUUUGAGAGAAUCAUAUCGAAGGAAUUCGGUAAAAGUUGUUUUAUUACUAUAUUUUUCAUUUGUAUCUUUUCGUUCAGUUUUACCUGUCAAGUUCAGAAUUUCGCGCGCUAGUUAGUUGGGUUUUUUUGUUUUAUUGUCGUAUCUCUUGUUUUAACCUUUUUUGUUUAUUUUUAUUUGUUAAGUUUAAGAUUUUGUGUAUUCACUGAAGAAUAAUAAUUAAUAUAAGUAUUUAUUAUAAUAUUCAUAUUAAUUGAUAUUUAUGUUUAGGUUUCGAAAAAGAAUUUGGAGAACAAAUUAUUAAUGUUAGAAGUUAAAUAUUAAAAGGAUAUAUUAUUUUAUCAUCAAGCAACUAAUGUAAAACCUCACUAAAUUAAUAUAGGUAGGAUCAUGAAAUAUUAUUAUUUUGUAGAGGUAUUAUUUAAUCGAUAAAUUAAUAUUUAUUAAUUUAAAGAGUGUUUAGUGUUUUGAGAUUCAACCUUGUGAUGCUGGAAUAAUAAGAGCUUUCAAGAUGUAUUAUUGCAAAAAAAAUUAUCAUAGGAUAUUAGAAGGCUAUGAAGUGGGACAAACGGAUCUAGGAAAGAUUAAUGAUUUGGAUGCUAUCAAUUUUGCAAUUCCGACUUGAACAACAAAUGUUCAGCAACUAACAGUAGCAAAUUGUUUUCAACACUCUAAAUUCGUUGGGGGAAUGGAAUCUCAGAGAAUUUGAAUGAACCCACUUGUGAAAACGUCAUUCAUGAACUUGAGGUCAUGAUUAAUGAUCUCAGUUACCGUAGUAAAAUGAACGCCAAUAACCUGUUGAUUUACCUAGAUGCAAAUGAUACAUGUUUAGAGGUCUAGAGCUUAGAAGUAAUUGAGGAUAUCAUCAGGAAAAAAAACAAUAUUGAUGAUGAAGUUGGAGAUGAUACAAUACAUUUGGAGCUAAUGACGCGUAAGGAACCACUUAUUGCAUCUAGAACUCUUCACAAUUUUAUGGUGCAGUUCGAAAAGACAACACCGAAAUUUUUGGAUACAAUAACUAAAGUUAGAGAUGAACUUCAACUAGAAUUAAAUUUUAACAAAAAACAAAACACUAUAGAAUCAUAUUUCACUAAAAGAAAUAUUAAUUUAUAAUAUUAAUGGGGUCAUAUAUUUAUAUAGGGGUCUCCUGAAAAUAUAUUAUCGAAAUGUGUGCUUUUUUUCAUUGGUCCAAGUCGGGAUCGGAGGAAAAUAUUAUCUUAGAGAGAUUAUUAAUUUAACGAGUAUUAAUUUAGUGAAGUUUUAGUGUAUAUAAAGUAUUAAUAAUAAUCAAAUUUCAAUUUUUAAUAUGACCCUAUUAACAAAAUAAUUUCUUAAUAAAUAUUUUUUAAAGAUUGUAUCAAGUCAGAAAAAUAAUAGAAUCGUCAAUAUCCGCAAUUCAAUAAGAUAGGGUUAAAAUUUUCGAAGCCCAAUUUAAAAGAAAUCUUUUUGAAUAGAGAAAAAACACUUGUAUCCUAAAAAAGUAAAAUAUUUACCCUUAAAUGCUUCAUUACUUUCAUACCCCUCAUUUUUAUUUUAAAAUUGCAUAUAUCAACAAAAAUAAAAUGUGCGCUAACAUCUGUCAGCGGCCACCCUUUUUUUCCUCUCUAAUACCAUUACAGUAUAUUAUAGCAUAUGGAAUAUACUCUGAUGGUAUCAAAGAGUAACUAAAUAGUGUCUUAAUUGAAAGAUUGUUUCUUCCUCCUUCAUACCAUCAAAGUAUAACACACUUUGGUGGUAUUAAUGAGUAAUUGAAUAAUGUUUUCAAUGAGGUUUGCUUCAGUCCUUAGAUGAGGUUAAUCAAUCAUCCAUGAUACUAUUACGGUAUAUCUACAUAAUGUCGUGGUAUCAUUGAUGUAUGUUUCAAUUCUUUAAUAUUUCAAUUUAAAAAAUAUAAAAAUAUAUUUUUCUGUUAAUUUAGAGUUUAAUAAAUAAGAUUGGGACUUUAAUAAAUUUCUCUUAAUUAUUUUUUAUUUAUUUCCUUAAAAAAGAGUCAAAUCUUAUAUGAUACCGAUAGGGUAUUGGUAUAAAUAUACCAACAACGUAUCACAGAGGAUUACGCUCAAUCAUAUAUGAUACCGAUAUGGUAUCAAUAUACCGACGGAGUAUCACAAAGAAUAUAUUUUCUACUAAUUUAAAGUUUGAUAAAUAAGAUUGUGACUUUAAUAAUUCUCUCUUAAUUUUUCUUAUUUAUUUCUUAAAAAAAGAGUUCAAUCCUAUAUGAUACUGAUAAGGUAUCAAUAUACCGAAGGAAUAUCACAAAGGAUUAAGCUUAGACCUGUAUGAUACUGAUAUGGUAUUAAUAUACCGACGGAGUAUCAUAAAGAAUAUAUUUUCUAAUAAUUUAUAGUUUAAUAAAUAAGAUUGUGACUUUAAUAAUUUUCUCUUAAUUAUUUUUUAUUUAUUUCUUAAAAAAGAGCUCAAUCAUAUAUGAUACCGACACGGUAUCAAUAUACCGACGGAGUAUCACAAAGGAUUAAGCUUAGUCUUAUAUAAUAUCAAUAUGGUAUCAACAAUAUACCAACGAAGUAUCACAUAUGAUUGAUUCAUAGUAGUGAUGUGGAGAUCAUGCACGAAAUAAGAAAGAAAAAAUCAGGGUAAGCAGGUAAAUAGUUUGGUCAUGAAUCCUAAAAAAAAAAAGGUAAAUAGUUUAGAUCAUGAAUCUAUUAAAGACAUAUAAUUUGGGUUAAGUCUAAUUUAAAUAAAUAGUUUUACGAUUAAGUCUAUUUUAUGUAGUUUUCCCUUUUGAAUAAACUCUCCUAGCUUGUGGGUCUUAAAUGAAGUUAAGGUUGGAUCUGUCUGCGGGCCAAAUAGUGAAAUUUAGAAAAUAUAAAAAAAAAUAAAAGAAGAUAGAAUAUUCUAUUAGUAGUAAUAUGAGGUGCUCAAACUCAAAAUUUACUUAUAAUGGAUAGAAUAAGAUCAAAAAAAGGAAAAUAUUUUAUUGUGAGAUAACAACAAAGUUUGAUUAUAUUCCUAGUUAUCCAAUUAUUUUAUUACUCUUUAACGGUUUAAUUUUUUUAUUAAUAUUUCUCUACAAUUCAAAUAAUAUUUGUUAAUAAUAUGUUAACAUUUAACAAUGUCAAAAGUCUGAUUCAAUUUUGGGAAAGUUUUAUACGCAAUAAAAUUGUUUUCCUAUAAAAUUGUAUUCAAUAUAUUUUUGUAGAAUGGUAAAGAUUUUCAAUUGUAGUCAGACAAUUAAAUCAUUUAAAUUAAAUUUGAAGUAAAAAUCACCAAACUUAUAUUAAUAAUAUCGUUGAAUCAAUAAAAGGACAUCAUAAACAGUUUAAAUAUACUGAACGUCUGAAACCACCACAUUAACACGAAAAAUUCCUAUACAAUGAGAAUUAUUAGUGAAAGUUACGAAUAAUUAGUACUAUAAGUAUACAAUUAAAACUAUUCUAUUUGUGAAUUUGUGAAUUGAUUAACAACCAUAUUAUAUUGUCUUGUAAGUUUUAUGUUGGUAUUUUUAUAUUAAAAUUAAAAAGUUAGAAUACUAAAAGUAAUGAGAGGUGGCCAAACACAAAGUUUGCUUAUAAUGGAUAGAAUAAUCUAUAUAUAUAUAUAUAUAUAUAUAUAUAUAUAUAUAUAUAAAUAAAUAAAAUAUUGUUGUGUGAGAUUACAACAAAGUUAGAUUAAUAUUGCUAAUUAUCCUGUUAUACUAUCUGAUACUUUCUUGAGCAAAUUCAAAUUUAAUAAAAUUUCAAUAUAGAUAUGGAAUACGUUACAAACUUAAACAAUUGUGUUGUUUGAGAUUUUCCUUUUGAACAAUAAAUGACUUACUAUAUAUGAUGUUCUCAAAUAGUGUUACUAAAUGAUUGUGUCAAAAUACAGUGCAUAUAUUGUGUCAAAUUUAUAACGACAAUUUACAGAUGAAUGACUAUAUUUGACACUCCUAUUUGGUUAUGACUAUUGCAUUAUUUGAAUUCAAAAUAACAAAAAUAAAUUUCUGUUUUGUUUUUAAAGUCAGUCGUCUUCAAAUAGGGGGUGUAUUAGGGGUGGGUGGGGGUCUUUUUGUCUAUUUUUACUUAUCAAGUAUAAAACUUUUAAAAAAUUACCAUGAGGAGUAAAAAUAAUAUUAAUUCUCUCUUACUUUUGUGAUGGAUUUUAAGUCCAAAUAAAAUUCUUUAAAAAUAAAAUAUAUUGUGUGUGUGAUGAUAAAUAUAGAUCGAGUCAUUGAGAGGUUUGCUUUCUUUAUUCAACCGUUUGUGUCAUUAUGUGAGAAUAUUUAGUUCAAUCAAAGCUAUAUGGUAGAUAAAAGUAAUUUUGAUAAUUUAAAGAAAUUAUUUUAAUUUUAAUUUGACUCAAUAAGUAGGUAUCGAUGGAUCUUGCAUAAUGUGGUUGAUGAUUGUUUCAUUGCUUCUUUCUACAGUUCAGUAGUUUAGUGACUAUAUUUGACAUCUCUUUCUCUUACGAUUAGUGUACUAUUUAAACCUGAAAUAACAAAAAUAAAUUUGACUUCGCUAUUAAAGUCAUCAUAUGUAGUUUAAAAAGCUAAGCAAUUGAGUGAUUAUAUUUGACAUCUCUUUCUCAUAUGAUUAGUGCACUAUUUAAACCUGAUACAACGAAAAUAAAUUUAACUUCACUUUUAAAGUCAUCAUAUGUAGUUCUAAAAAAAAUUUGUUUUGAUGAGUUGUCCAUUGACAAAAGUGAAAAUACAAGCUAAUUGUUAUAUUGCUAUCACGAUUCACAUGUUUUAUAUGUGCAAUUUGUGUGAUUGGUAAAGAUUCUUUAAGAUAAUUCUUAUCAAUCGAGAUAAAACUCAUCCAAUUUAGCUAAAGGACUAUGUUAUCAUUUAUUUUUUGAAGAAAAAAAAAGCUUGUUUAUUUUUUUUAUAUAGACAUAACUUAUCUACAUUAAUAAUGAUCUAUCUCAUUCUUAUUUAGAUUUUAAUAAUUACUCUAUGAAGGAAAGGUUUGCUUAUUAUGCAUCUAUUGUUUAUAUUUAUAACGAAUGAAUUUUUUUAUUUAUUUCUCUCCACAUACCAGUUAUCUAAAUUUAAUUCAGUUUAUUUUCAAAAUUGGAAAAAAUAAUAUUACUCUUGAAUAGUCUCAUAAAUACAAAAUAUUCUUGAUAUCUAUCAUUAUUAUUAUUUUAUUUAUUAAACGGAGAAGAGUAAAAAUGCCCCUCAACUAUUGAAAUGGUAUAAAACUAUCUUCCAUCCAUUUUUCGGUCUCCAAAUAUCCUCGACAUUAACCUUUUGGCUUAAAAAUACUCUCGAUAUAAACCUUUGGCUCAUAUUUGACCUUAUUUUAAACAAAUCUCCUUAAAGUAAAAUUAUUUAUAUAUUUAUUUAUUAUGUUGCCUAAUCUGAUUGGUCCAAAUUUAAACCUUUCUAAAAUAAAUAAUAAAAACUACAUAUGAUUUAUAUUUUGACUCGAUACGCUUGAAAAUAAUAUUUUAAAAAAAUAUUAAUUUUAUGAUAUCUUCCUAUUGACCUAUUUAAAUCAACCCCAAAUUUAUCAUUAUCCAAUUCAUAACUGGGAUAUAUUAAAAUUCAUAUUCUCCCUAUCUGGUUGUCAAUCUAAAAUAAGAUUAUUAUUUUUUAUUAAUAUAAAAUUUUCUAUCAAUUAACCAAUUGUCUUGUUCAUUCCUUCUUUUUAUUCCUUUUUAAUCUCUUAUUCUUAAUUAGGAUAUCAAUGAUACAAACAUGAAAUGAACUCACAUAUUCACAUUCUUUUAAUUUGUAUUAUUUUCAUGGGGGGCGGGGAUAGAAAAAAAGUUAUUUUCAUUCAAUUAUUUUAAAUUUUAGUUAUACACAAGAAAAAUUAUAGUAUAUGUACAUAGUUACUUAAUUAAAUCAUCUAUUAACCUAGUUAGUUAUAAAUGAAUAUCGUCGGUAUUUUUCUCCCGUCUUUGAUUUGUCAUUACUUGAAAAUAAUUAAAAUUUAAAAUGGUGGACAAGAUCCAAAAAAAAGAAAAGUAAAGAAAAAGGGGUAAAUAUACACCUAAACUAUUAUAAAUGAUAUGUCAGUACCCUCCGUUAUACUUUAGGGCUAUUCAUACAUUUAUCGUUAAUAUUUUAGAUUGUGUAUCAACUAAAUUUAAUAGAGGGACAUGUGGCUUCAUCUAAAUGUUUCAACUAAAUUUAUUUUAAAUUUUUCCAAUAAACUAAAAACCUAUGGCCAUAAUCAAACCCACUCAUGACCCGAUAAUUUAAAAAGCCAUACCCAAAUCACCAACUUUCUGGUCAAACCCAUCUCUCUCUAACAUUUGCGAAUCGAAAGACUUGUUAUUUCAACACAAGGGUGAUGCAGAAAUGGUGAAUACAUCGAAGGAAAUAAAAGUGACGGAAACUUUGUAGCCAUAAUUUGCUUAAGAUAAAUGGGUCAUGGGCGGGUCAUAUGGGUGGGUUUUUAAUUUAUAGAUAAAAAUUAAAAUAAAUCUAGUUGAAUCAUUUAGAUGAAGCCACGUGUUCCUCUGUUAACCUUAAGGGAAUAAACAACCUAAAAUAUUAAUUGUAGGGAUAUGAAAAUAGCCCUAAAGUAUAACUGAAGGUACUGACAUACCAUCUAUAAUAGUUCGGGGGUAUAUUUGUCCUUUUUCCCAAAAAUAAAAGACAAAGGAAGUGGAGCGGGGAAAGGGGGUGAGUGUAGAUAAUAGAGGAUUAAUUUUUUUAUUUUUAAUUUACUAUGGAAUCCAAAAUCAGUCCAAUCAUUCGAGUUCAUAUAUUACGUAAUUUUUUAUAUUAUUUUAAUGGAGAAGGGCCUAAAAUUCCCUUAAAUUGUGGAAUUUGGUAUAAAUUUACCAUUCAUCCACCUUAUGAGGAUAGCCCAUUAGAAAUAAGGUAUUUUUGAGCCAAAAAGUUGACGUCUGAAGUAUUUGGAGGUAGAAAGGUGAACGAAGAGUAGUUUUGUACCAAAUCAUAUAGUUGAGAGGCAUGUAACAACCCAAAAUGGACAUGAUGUCACUUGUCUAUUCUCACCAAGACAAGUCAAUCUCUGUUCGCAACAAAUUUCCUUAAACGCUGAAAAUCAACUGCAAGCAAAAUAAAUAAAAGAAAAAAUGUUAUUUUUUAUUGAUGAAUCGUUGUGAGUACAAUUAUGUUGUUUUCUUGAUUCUCUCUCCUAAGAUUCGAGGGUCUUCAGUAGCGUAUUUCUCAAAAUGUUGGAUGAUGUAGACCUCCUUGAGAUGUUGUCGAUCUCCGGGAAUGUGGAAAAGCGCUUCGUCAUUUCAAGUCGAUCUCUGGGAAAAACUCCAUUGAUGACUCCUUCGAAGAGCUAUGUUGUUGAUGGUAUAGCUUCCUCCAAUUGCAGAAUGCUUGUUGAAGAGCUUUCUUGAUGCCCUUUGAAUGUCAUGUCUAUCCCUUAUUUAUAGUUGUAAGUAGUGGACAAGGUUGCUUGUGAUUGGCCAAAGGAUGUCAUUUUGACACUUGGCGCAUUGUGAUUCGUUCUUGCAUUUGACUGGGACUAUCACCUUAUUUGGACAUGUGGCGUCACCUUGUUGGUCUUCGAUGCCUAGUAAUUGUAACACGUGGCAUGAGUUUGGGGAUCAAGGUGAAAUGGACUUUGGACUUGAAUUUAAUAAAAAUGGACUUAUUUAUUUGUAAAGCCCAAAUUAAUCAUUCAACCCAAAUAAACAUGGAUUUAAUCCAAAUUUGGUAUGAAUUAAAUCCAAUAAAAUUUGUGUGUCUACAGUCUCAACCCAACAAAAUGAAAGAAAUGUGGAAAGUAAAACAAGAGCAAGAGAAAAAGCGAAAAACUUAUUCAUUCUAUGAUAACCCCAAAACCUGAUUGUCACGUGUACAAACCACUAAUACAUAAAGUGAGGAAAUGAAAAUAAGUAUAAGUCUCAAUGUCUUUGUUUCUCAAAUAGAACAAAGUAUAACGAAAAGAAAAAAAGAGGGUCCAUCGAGAUAACAAGCAACUACCUCUUAAAAUCUUCAACAAGCAUCGAAAAUAGGAGAAGAGGAAGAGCAAUCACAUUGAACCGGGCUCGAAAACUACACAAGUGUAGAAGCAAGGAGUGAGUACCAAACAACAUGAUAUUCAACAAGCAACCUAAUAAACAAAGCAAACUAGCUAGAAAUGAAAUACUUCUUUCAUCCCAACCGUACCUUUUAAAACUACAACCUGCAUAGAAAUCAAUCCAACUACACAAUUCACAAGGCUUAACCACACAGUUCAAUAGUCACAGUUUAACAACCAACACGUAUUAAGUAUGCUAAUCACAAGUAACAAGUAUGUCAAUCACAAGUAACAUGUAGGUCAAUCGCAAUUAUCAAAUGCAUAAUAGUCAACUCUUAUUGGAACAAUUUUCCUUCGGCACAAUGUCAUUAGUCGGAACCAGUUUUCAUCGGCUUUAUAUCACAUCAUUAGUCGAAACCAUUUUUCAUCGACUUUAUAUCACAUCACUAGCUGGAAUCAUUUCCCAUCGGCUUUAUAUCACUAGCUAGAAUCAUUUUUCAUCAACUUUAUAUCACAUCACUAGUCAGAACCAUUUACCAUCGGCUUAGUAUCACAUCACUAGCCGGAACCAUUUUCUAUCGGCUUUAUAUCACACCAUUAGCUGGAACCAUUUUUCAUCGGCUUUAUAUCACUAGCCAGAACCAUUUUCCAUCAACUUUAUAUCACAUCACUAGUCAGAACCAUUUACCAUCGGCUUAGUAUCACAUCACUAGCCGGAACCAUUUUCUAUCGGCUUUAUAUCACACCAUUAGCUGGAACCAUUUUUCAUCGGCUUUAUAUCACUAGCCAGAACCAUUUUCCAUCAACUUUAUAUCACAUCACUAGCCAAAACGAUUUUCCAUCGGCUUUAUAUCACUACCCAAAACCAUUUUACAUUGGCUUUAUAUCACCAGUCGGAACCAUUUCUCACCGACUUUGUAUCACAUCACUUGUCGAAACCAUUUUCCUUCAGCAUAAUAUCACUAGUCGGAACAAUUUUCAUCGGCUUUAUAUCACAUGUCUCAACAUGAUGUACAACAAUCAAUGCACAAGAAAUUUCACACCACAAAAAAGAAACAACAUUUCAAGUGAUUCAAGUCCACAUUAACGGCAUCAAAGUAUUUUAUCAAUUAAUCAAAUAAGGAUCACAACAAGGCAAAUCACAAGCAUUAUGAUCAACACCUUGCAUUUUCACUAACCCAUUUUUUAUUUAUUAAGGUUAAUCAAGUGGAACAAUGAAGUCAUCACCUCCUUUCCAUUACUCCCCAACACACACAAUGAAGAAAUAUACAUGAUUCUACUAGAUUUACAAGAUUUAGGAGAUCACUUGUCUUAAUUUAAUCAAAUAGUCAAUCCAAAACUUGAGUCUUCCUUUUCUGAACAACGUCCAAAGCCACACAAUCUAAUUCAAUCAAUUAGUCACAAUAAGAUUAUGGAAAUAACGAUACCCAUAUCAUACUCUUUAAAAAAUGGGUCAUUCAACUUUAAAACCAAAUUUUGAAAAUGAGGUUUGAAUCCGAAAAUAUUUACUUGAAGAAGUUACCCAAGGCAUUUGGAACUCAUCGGUGAAAACCAUUUCGGAAAAGAACUUAAAAUUAGUUCACGAUCACCAUUUUCAGUUUAGAACUCAAGUUCUUGAAAAAACUUGUCAUUUGCCAAUCAAAACCUCAAGAUUUGAUGUUAGAAUCCAUAAAUAAUUAAAUGAAAUUGAAGUUUUAGGGUUACAAAAGCUUACCCAAAAGAUUUAGCACAAGAAAUCUUUGCAAAAUCGCUUCCAAGAUUUUUGCCAAGCUCAAAAAUGACAAAUGGGGCUUAAAUCCCGAAAUUUCAGAGCAAAAACUCUUUUCUAAUGUCGCAACCCCGCCCAAACUUCGCUAAAGCAAAGAUCGCAAAUGCAAAGGCCCUUCACAAACGCGAGGACUUCAAAACCUGAAACACCAUUCAACACAAAAUCAUCAAAAGGACCCUCAAGAUUUGUUUGAAAUUCUGUACACACAAAUCAAAUAUGCAAUUUGACUGUACUCGACGUUCCGAACUUAAUGAAACCGUCGAAAUAUGAAUCUGAGGUGUCCUCGAUCCGAUAUUCUUGAAAAUCACAAGAAAUGGACAUAACGCCUAAAAAGAUCAAAACAAACUCGGGACCUAUGAAAAAUCAAUCAAGACUUCACUUAGGCCUAAAAUCAUCCCCUGAAUCCAAAGGAAUUCUCAAAAAUCUGAUCCGAGCAUUCGAACCACGAAUGUUGACCAAAGUCAACCAAAAGGUUAAAAUUUCACUAAUUUCCAAACUUAGGAACUCAAAUUCUCAAAAAAACUCGAAAUUUGAAAUCGAUAACUCUAAUAGACCAAUUUACACAUUCUGGGACUGAUGAAAUCAAUGGAAUUUCAUUCGACACUCGAAACUCUAAAAGACACCGAAAACCACUUUAUAACAAUUUAGUCUUGCAAACUCAAAACUUUCAAAAAUUCACAACUUUUUACUCAAAGUUCGAACCCAACUUCCACAACUCAAACAAAAAUAACUUAGGGUCAAUAUCGGGAGGACAAAUUGGUAAUUUCACGAAAAUAACCACAAAUGACCAACCGAGUCAUUACUUUUUAGGCCUUUCACUGAAUAUUAAAUUUUAUGUGUAUGAUGAGGAGUGGAAUGUAUAAUUGAUCUACAUAAUAAUUUUUUGUCAUAAAUAAUACAUAUAGUUUUGGUGGUUUGGUCAUUGAAUGGAGAAAAAUCUUAUCUCUUUUUCGAUAUCAAAUGUUUAUAUUUGAUGGAUGAAAUUAUUUUAUUUAUUUUUCUCCAAAUAUUAGUUGUUUAUAUAUGUAAUACUUUCCAUCUCGAUAAAUAAUAAGUAUAAUUUUUUUUAAAAAUAAUUAUUAGUAUAUCUCGAUUCUCAACAAAGGCUAUUAUUAAAUGGAAAAGCCUAAAGUUUGACUGACCCUCAGGUAAUGUUAUUUUUUAAAUCAUUUUUAUGUAUCUCUCGAAGGGGUUAACCUAGACAAGAACAACUCGCUCUGAUACCAAUUGUUAGGAUCAAACACUUACCAUCAUGAUAUAAGGUAUAGCUAAUUAUAGUAAGAGAGUGUUUGAAUUGGCUUAAAAGUUGGUCAAACCUACUUUUGAGUUAGUUUUUACUUUUGGAAGUGUUUGAUAAAUAUAAAAAUAACUUGAAAUAAGUCAAAAAUGACUUAAAAAAAGUUAAGAAGUGUUUGACAAGGUUAAAAGAUAACUUUAAAUAAGUUUAAAAUGACUUAAAAUAAGUUUAAAACCAAAAGUAGGCCUUCCCUUCUUUUUAUUUUUUGACUUAUUAGUCAUUUAAGUUUGACUUUUUAUUUUUUACUUAAAAACUGCUUUUUUGAGUCAAUCCAAACGGGCUCUCUUUAUUUCUUAACUAAGUCCACUAAACAAGCAUCAUGUUCGAUCAUAACUCUGAGACGUAUUGCAUCAACACCCUUUGUGGUCCUUGCCAUGAUGUUAACAUAACCCAACAAACAACACUUGAACGUGCUUUGCUCAUGAAAAUAAUAAUAAAAACUUACCAACAAGGGUCCAGUGGAGUGGUAAGUACUCCUUAAUCCUUAAUCACAGGUCUUGUGUUUGAGUCCCUUUGAAUACGGAGUCCUCUUUGUUCGGGAGACCAUUUGCCCUCAAUGUGUAAUUUUUUUAUGCAAAUUCAAAUUUAAUCAGGCUCCAAUAUAAAUACCGAACAUCGAAUGUGAAAUAAGAAAAUAAAACCAAAAAAAACAAUCUAAAUCUACUUUCUCACUUAUUUCCUCAAAAUUUAUCAACUCAUUUAUCAAUCUUUGCAUAUAAAUUCCACUAAUUCAUUAUUACUAGUAUUAUUUUUACCGUGCAGAUGUAACAUUUUUCACAACUUUUAUAAUGAGUUUUUGAAGAUUUGCAUGAAAUUUGUUGAGAAUUUUCUUAUUUUCACGAUGAUUACUUUAAUAUAAACUAAUGUGAAACAUGUUUUUCUUUUGCUUUUGUCAAUAUUGUCAAUACCUAAGUGAAUUUAAUUCUGUAAUGGUCAAUAUGUAUAAAUUUGAAAAAAUAUUCCAAAACGACAUAAAUAUUUUUCAUUUUCUUCCUUGUCCCCUGUUUUUUUUCAAAACUUUUUUAUCGCGUAAAGAGUUUGACAAUUAAAAAAGAAAAAAGAUAAAAAUAAUGGUGUAGAUCUUUUUUCAUAUAUUUUUUUAAAAAAAAAUUCAACCCCCAACCAAAACAAAUUCUCUGCCACUACAAUACAUGUACUUUUUAAAGAACAUUUAUCAAACUUUAAACCUUUUUUUUU
rnacentral:lncRNA from 1 species